GUCCCAGUUCGGAUUGCAGGCUGCAACCCGCCUGCAUGAAGCUGGAAUCGCUAGUAAUCGCGGAUCAGAAUGCCGCGGUGAAUACGUUCCCGGGUCUUGUACACACCGCCCGUCACACCAUGGGAGUCGGUAACGCCCGAAGUCAGUGACCCAACCGAAAGGAGGGAGCUGCCGAAGGCGGGACUGGUAACUGGGGUGAAGUCGUAACAAGGUAGC
rnacentral:rRNA from 1 species